GAUGAACGCUGGCGGCGUGCCUAAUACAUGCAAGUCGAGCGAACAGACGAGGAUCUUGCUCCUUUGACGUUAGCGGCGGACGGGUGAGUAAUACGUAGGUAACCUACCUAUAAGACUGGGAUAACUUCGCGAAACCGGAUCUAACACAGGAUAAUAUUUCGAACCGCAUGGUUCGAUAGUGAAAGCUGGCUUUGCUAUCACUUAUAGAUGUACCUACGCCGUAUUAGCUAGUUGGUAAGGUAACGGCUUACCAAGGCAACGAUACGUAGCCGACCUGAGAGGAUGAUCAGCCACACUGGAACUGAGACACGGUCCAGACUCCUACGGGAGGCAGCAGUAGGGAAUCUUCCGCAAUGGGCGAAAGCCUGACGGAGCAACGCCGCGUGAGUGAUGAAGGUCUUCGGAUCGUAAAACUCUGUUAUUAGGGAAGAACAAACGUGUAAGUAACUGUGCACGUCUUGACGGUACCUAAUCAGAAAGCCACGGCUAACUACGUG
rnacentral:rRNA from 1 species